ensembl:lncRNA novel transcript, antisense to PRAP1
GCAAGACUGUGUGGCCUUGACAUGGGCCAGGGAACAGGGCCCGUCCCCAGGCAUAGUCCCGGCUGAGGACACCACUGUCAGCACAGACAGUGCAGCUGAGCCACUAGCACAUGGAGUCACCUCUGGCCUUCAAGGCCCAGGUCUUUAGAUAAUAACUUAACUCUUUUGACCAAUUGUCAAUUGG